GACGAACGCUGGCGGCGUGCUUAACACAUGCAAGUCGAACGGAAAGGCCCCUUCGGGGGUACUCGAGUGGCGAACGGGUGAGUAACACGUGAGUAACCUGCCCUGACUUCGGGAUAACUUCAGGAAACUGGGGCUAAUACCGGAUAGGAAUCCUUGCUGCAUGGUGGGGGUUGGAAAGCUUCGGCGGUUUUGGAUGGACUCGCGGCUUAUCAGCUUGUUGGUGGGGUAGUGGCUUACCAAGGCUUUGACGGGUAGCCGGCCUGAGAGGGCGACCGGCCACAUUGGGACUGAGAUACGGCCCAGACUCCUACGGGAGGCAGCAGUGGGGAAUAUUGCACAAUGGGCGGAAGCCUGAUGCAGCAACGCCGCGUGCGGGAUGACGGCCUUCGGGUUGUAAACCGCUUUCAGCAGGGGCGAAGCUUGUGGUGACGGUACCUGCAGAAGAAGCACCGGCUAACUACGUG
rnacentral:rRNA from 1 species